rnacentral:rRNA from 1 species
UGGGGAAUUUUCCGCAAUGGGGGGAACCCUGACGGAGCAACGCCGCGUGGGGGAUGAAGGCCUUCGGGUUGUAAACCCCUUUCAGCAGGGAAGAAGCGAGAGUGACGGUACCUGCAGAAGAAGCACCGGCUAACUACGUGCCAGCAGCCGCGGUAAUACGUAGGGUGCAAGCGUUGUCCGGAAUUAUUGGGCGUAAAGAGCUCGUAGGCGGUCUGUCGCGUCUGCUGUGAAAUUUCGGGGCUCAACCCCGGAACUGCAGUGGGUACGGGCAGACUAGAGUGCGGUAGAGGAGACUGGAAUUCCUGGUGUAGCGGUGGAAUGCGCAGAUAUCAGGAGGAACACCAGUGGCGAAGGCGGGUCUCUGGGCCGGUACUGACGCUGAGGAGCGAAAGCGUGGGGAGCGAACAGGAUUAGAUACCCGCGUAGUCC